GAGAUAGCACUGGGAGCUGCAAUAGGAGGCUAAAUGUACCCGCCACGACCUAGGCAGUUCUCGAAGGCGCUCCUUAACGGGCAACGCGCACUCAAUGCUAGAAACUCCGCCCUGCGUCCCUCCCCAGGCUCAGACCUUCCCCUGUGGCCGUCCCCCUUCUUCCCCCUCAGCUGCUGCACGCCUCCUCCCAAGCGCGGGCAGAGAACGGCAACGCCUCCCUGUCGGCACCUCCCCCUUAAGCUGCCCGAAGCCCGCCUGCGCCCGCCUCCCCAGCGGCGCGCGACGCCCAGCGCCCCGAGGUGCGGGCCGGUGUUCUCCUAGGUGGAGGUGCGGCCCGCUAGCGAGACCGAGCCCCACUGUAUUUUCUUUUAUUUCAUUUCACUCAAGGUUUUGCGCAGACUGAAGUUUUGUGGGUUAGGUUAAACUCGGGACCUCCUCAAAAAGGACCCUUUUUUUUUUUUUCUUUCAAAAUGGCAGCCUCCAGCCGCGCACAAGUAUUAGAUCUGUACCGGGCGAUGCUGAGAGAAAGCAAGCAUUUCAGCGCCUACAAUUACAGAACUUAUGCUGUCAGGAGGAUAAGAGAUGCCUUCAGAGAAAAUAAGAAUGUAAAGGAUCCUGUAGAAAUUCAAACCUUAGUGAAUAAAGCCAAAAGAGACCUUGAGAUAAUUCGUCGACAGGUUAUGUCCUUGAAAUCAACGCCUGCUGUGGGAAUGGUGAGCAGAACACACAUUCCAAGGACAGGGGCAGCAUUGAGGAACCUCUACUUGCCAGGGUCCAGCUCACAGAGUCUGCCCUACUCAUCUUCAUCCUCUUCAGAAAUGACCUGAGUGGCAGUGACACCUAAAUAUAUGUUUCCAGCCCACACUUCUCUCCAGACUACACCCUGAUCUGCCUUCCUCCUUGACGUUUCACCCGGGACACCAUUUAGUUGCUUCCUGUUUGCAGAGCUCAUACCAGGAACAUUUUAUAAUGUUAAGCGGCUGUGAAUAUCUAAUCACAUGAGAAACAGUUGCUGUGUAUCUACCUUCCCGUGUUGGAGAAAUUGCAGCCUGAGCCUGGUAAUAAGGUACUAAUUAUCAGAGUACUGCAUCAUAGUCCUUAGCAGACACCUA